AGACCCGAAACCCGGUGAUCUAGCCAUGGGCAGGUUGAAGGUUGGGUAACACUAACUGGAGGACCGAACCGACUAAUGUUGAAAAAUUAGCGGAUGACCUGUGGCUGGGGGUGAAAGGCCAAUCAAACCGGGAGAUAGCUGGUUCUCCCCGAAAGCUAUUUAGGUAGCGCCUCGUGAAUUCAUCUCCGGGGGUAGAGCACUGUUUCGGCUAGGGGGCCAUCCCGGCUUACCAACCCGAUGCAAACUGCGAAUACCGGAGAAUGUUAUCACGGGAGACACACGGCGGGUGCUAACGUCCGUCGUGAAGAGGGAAACAACCCAGACCGCCAGCUAAGGUCCCAAAGUCAUGGUUAAGUGGGAAACGAUGUGGGAAGGCCCAGACAGCCAGGAUGUUGGCUUAGAAGCAGCCAUCAUUUAAAGAAAGCGUAAUAGCUCACUGGUCGAGUCGGCCUGCGCGGAAGAUGUAACGGGGCUAAACCAUGCACCGAAGCUGCGGCAGCGACGCUUAUGCGUUGUUGGGUAGGGGAGCGUUCUGUAAGCCUGUGAAGGUGGCCUGUGAGGGUUGC
rnacentral:rRNA from 1 species